UAGCCAUGCAAUGUAGCCAUGCAGUGUGAUGAUGUAUCAAAAUGCAAGUCACAAGCUUAUUGUUGUUGGCUGCCACUACUGCUAUUGCUACAGCUCAGUCAUCAGAAUGUUUGAAUGGACAAAUUCAAGAAACUAUUUCUAAUUCCCUGGAGUACUGUUACAAUGGAGAAUGGAGCCUGAUCUGUCAUGAUGACAGUCAGUGGAACCGAGAGAGGACAAUAUCUGCAUGCACACAACUGGGUUACAGUGACUCCGGAAUAGGAGGAAGGUCAUGUGGGACUACUCAAAGAAAAGUUGUCACACUGACUAACUGCAGUGAACCAGGACAGCAUCUCACAGAAUGCAUGGUCAUGGCCAGUGAUAGCUGUACUACCUGUUCUAUAUUGUCUUUAACAUGCUUCCUAGCUACCUGCACUCAUGGAAAGACAAGACUGGUGGGUGGAUCCACUGACAGAGAGGGACGAGUGGAGGUGUGUGUGGGUGGCAGGCGAUGGAGGACAAUUUGCACUGGCAGUCAAGAACUGGCAAGAGCUGUUUGUUCACAAAUGGGAUACACCUUUGAAAAAAGUACUGUGGCGAACCCAUUUCCUCCUGGAGUAUUUCCAGAGUACAGACUGGACUGUACACAACUAAGCAAUGGAACAUGGCACUGUAAUCCAGUAAAACAACAAUGUGACAGCUUUGUGGAGCUUGGAGUUGUUUGUAAGAACUAUGAAGAUCUAUACAAUGACUGUGCUCUGUCAACCAACAUGCAAGUCAAUACACAGAUGCCUAUAGCUACUAGUUUAGAAGGACUGUCUUCUACUCCAUGUGAAACAACUACUAACAAUGGCAGCUCAACUUCACUGCUAGCAGUAAUUGCUGUUCUUGUUGUGUUACAAGUGGCUACAAUGACGAUACUAAUCAGCACCUGUGUUGUCUUUAAGAAGAAACUCAAACAAAAGGUGACCAUGGCUACACAACAAGCUGACCUAACCUAUGCAGUGGCUCAUGACGACACGUAUAUAGAGGAGAGAACCUUACAUGUGUAAUUGUGGACAAUUGCUGCAUCAUGUACAGGUCAUGUGUACAUUUUACCAGACGGUAGUCUGACCCCCCCCCCCCCCCGUAAUAGAGUUGCAUGAAUAUAUAAUUUUGAAUAAAGGUAAUCUCCGUGAUCCUUUAUCUUACCUCCAAGGUCGUUAGGUUCAAACACCCCCGAAUAUAUCCCCGACCUAGUCUGCUGCUCGAGACGGACAACACACUGGACUAGUGGUGUAGAACUGAGUGAAGACGAGACCCUGCUCGGCUAGUAACUGGAUGUGAGGGGUAUUGGAGGUGGGGUGUCCGUAGGGAGUGAGGUCAUCAUAGCCAAACUGUGUGGGCGUGUGUGUGUGUGUGUGUGUGUGUGUGUGUGCAUGUAGGUGUGUGGGUGGGUGUAGGGGGAUAGUGACAAGCAACAUAAAUGAACCAGCUAUAUACACAGUCAUUGGGGCGAGCGUAGCGAGCCCUAUCUUAGUGACCUCGGUAGACAAUUUCUCUGUAUGUAUGUAUGUAUGUAUGUAUGUCAUGGUACGUGCGGCCUGAUAGCCGGUUUUUACACACGCGGUCCUUACCAAUUUCGUGUAUUUGUCGUGUAUUUUGCACAAUUGGAGGCAUAAGAAAAAGUUGCAUAAAAUGAAUCCUGACAAUGAACGCAAACAAGAAAGACUUCGAAUAAGGAGGGAUCGAAACAGACAAGCAAGAGCCCAAGAAACAGCUGAAGAGAAAGAAGUCAGGCUAGCCAAACGCAGAGAAAAGCACAGGGCACUCAAAUUCAAUUGCACUGGAUGCCAAUAGAGCAUCCCAGCAACUGAGACGGGACACAGAGAUUCCUGAGGCUAGGCAGGCACACCUACAGCAAAUGGCUGCUUCCACCCAAACCAGCAGAGCUUCAGAUACUCCUGAGGCCAGACAGGCACGCCUACAGCAAAUGGCUGCUUCAACUCAAACCAGCAGAGCCUCGGACACUCCUGAGGCCAGACACGCACGCUUAGAACAAGACAGGCAUAGGUAUUCACAACACAUAGAUGUGAACCACCUGUACUGCGCUCACGCUCGCCCCAUGACACCUUGUGUCACCCUAGUUAUAAUUAUAAUCAUAGGUCUACCCAUGUAGUAAGGAUGUACCACACUCACUACUUAUAUCUGCAGGCACAGAAGAAAAAGCAGUGGUUAUUAUGCCUCGGUGCGCAUGUGCAAGCGAGGUAUACGGUAGUGUGUUUGUGUGUCUGUGUGUGUGUCUGUGUAGACUGCUACAGCUGCUCAAGGAUGAAUCAAGUGCAAGUAAGAGUUUUUAUAGGCUUCUAGUCAUGUUUACUUGGAUUUUAAUUCGUGGAUUUGCAAAAUAAUGCUUUGUUCUCGAGUUAUGCCUAGUUUUGCUUACUUGGAAUGCCAUUGCAGCCUUUUCAGUAGAGCACGUAGCCAAACUUGCUUACCGAGUGUUGCUACUCUACUUAGUAGUUAGCUCUGCACUAGAACGCUAGCUAUUGGUAGCUGCAAGAGUGACAAGAGAGCUUCAAGGCUCUGCGAGCUGCUAAUGCAGCCAUUAAUUUUAGACUUUAACUUUUGGCAUCGAUCGUUUUUAACAACAAUCAUGGUCGGUCAUUACCCACUCUGUGAGUUUUUGCAUGCAGCAAAAUUAAAUUGUUUUAUCAUGAUUGUGUAUAAAAACUUUAUGUUAUGUAGCUUUGGCAUCUCCACCGAGGCAUCAGCACCACCUGUGGUGCUUUCAUUUCAUGCAAGCACACCCACAACUCACACAGCUACACAACUACAUAAUUAUUACACAGAUGUACAGUAUACACCCACAUCAUCAACUAGGAACAGCACCACGUUGGGUGGCGUGGCAGCCAUGACGACGGCUAGCAGAAAGACCAACAGAAAAUUCUCCCGUUCUGGCAACAAAGUUGAUUUCCACACGAUAAUCAAACACUCCAGUUAGACUAUAAUUAUGCAGCCUAUAUAUAAUUAUACUAACUUGAUAUAUAGCUGGCUAAUAAAAUAUGGAGUAUAUAGCUAUACUUAAGAUUCAAAAACUGCCUGUGCUGAACGUUCACUCUAUAAUUAUCUGUGUGUAUUAAUUAUUGAUUAUA